CUUAAAGGAAUUGACGGGGGCCCGCACAAGCGGUGGAGCAUGUGGUUUAAUUCGAAGUAACGCGAAGAACCUUACCAGGUCUUGACAUACUCGUGCUAUUCCUAGGGAUAGGAAGUUCCUUCGGGACACGGGAUACAGGUGGUGCAUGGUUGUCGUCAGCUCGUGUCGUGAGAUGUUGGGUUAAGUCCCGCAACGAGCGCAACCCUUAUUGUUAGUUGCCAUCAUUAAGUUGGGCACUCUAGCGAGACUGCCGGUAAUAAACCGGAGGAAGGUGGGGAUGACGUCAAAUCAUCAUGCCCCUUAUGACCUGGGCUACACACGUGCUACAAUGGUUGGUACAACGAGUCGCAAGACAGUGAUGUCAAGCUAAUCUCUUAAAGCCAAUCUCAGUUCGGAUUGUAGGCUGCAACUCGCCUACAUGAAGUCGGAAUCGCUAGUAAUCGCGGAUCAGCACGCCGCGGUGAAUACGUUCCCGGGCCUUGUACACACCGCCCGUCACACCACGAGAGUUUGUAAUACCCAAAGCCGGUGAGCUAACCUUUUAGGAGGCAGCCGUCUAAGGUAGGAUAGAUGAUUGGGGUGAAGUCGUAACAAGGUAGC
rnacentral:rRNA from 1 species